ACGAUCCGAAAAACAAGCAGCACCACGGCCUGCUGUUCUGCCUCCUCAUGACCUCCUGCGACCUUUCCGACCAGACUAAGGGAUGGAAGACCACACGGAAGAUUGCGCUGUAUUGAGUUCUCCCGAGGAAAAUGGUGACUGAUAAGGCCAAGAUCCACCUUAUCAGCAUCCUUAGCAACAACCAAUCACUGACCGUCGCCCACAGGCUUGAGACCCCAAAUUAUCAGCAACCCUGGCAACAGUGAAUUCCUGGCUAGUGUUUCCUUCAACACCUACGUUUGCUGAAGACUUCUUGCAGAAGAAUUCUUCAGCCACAGAGUGUCCGCUGGAUGACCCAAAGCCGAUAAUGAAGGAACUUGCUGUAUAAUGAGAGGCUAAUGAAGACAACAACAAUCGGGGCGGAGAGGCAUGUGAUAUGCCAAUCCAACACACGAACAAAUGGGACUUGAGGAGAGGGAUCAGACUAGAGGGAGGGACUUGGCACUGCAUCACCUAGGGAAGCGGGACCAGCGGGAAAUAUAAGGAUGGAUUCAUCCUCAGGUCUUUGGCUACCAAACAGCCAAACAGGCUUGUGGAUACCAUGGAAUCUUGUGGAAUCUAUUCCAGGUGUGUCCCAAUUGUUCCCUCGUGUGCCCCCACCCCCCUCCUUCCUGAGUUUUCUGCAUGAUGGGAUGUCACACCUAGAGAUAGGCCAGAGAUCCAGAUGGGGAAGGGAGAGGGAGACCACAAAAGGGUGAAGGAGGCAGAGUUGGGUUCCACAGGGGGCGCUGAAGGAAGGACUUAGAGCACCCAGAAAUAUGCACCCCCACCCCCCAGGAAGGAUUUAGAAGCCUACAUCCAGGACUCCCACUACGCUCAGAUAUUCGGCACUCACUGCCCCUGCCCCCCAAGCAAGCCCCCAUAACCAUCCCCCACAGAGCUGGGAAGGGAGCAGAGGGUGGAGGUGCAGGGAUCAGGGCCACAUUUGUUGGGGUAGAGAGGAGGGACAAGGUUUAUUGGAGCCCCUAGGACUCCCAGAGACCACCCUGGCACCCAAGCCCCUGAACCCCUCCAGGUGGAGCCCAGACACCCCAAUCUCUGGGAAGGACAAAAGUGCAGAGGGGGAUUUAGGUCAGCUCCCCCCACCCAUCCCCAGGCCAUCCCAGCUUGGGCCAGUGGGGUCUAUGCCUCAUUGUCCACCUUUCAGCCAAGUCCAGGAGAGGAAGCAGAACAAUGCUUGUCGGGCAGAAACCACGGGUCCUGCUGGCCCCAGUUCCCCAUCUCCCCAUUCCUCUGAACCCCUGCUCUCAGGUCAUUGUACCCCAGGCCCCUGAAUUCCCUGGACUGGCCAGAGAACAGGAGCUGGGAGCUGCCAACCCUUCCCUUAGUGUUUCCCUCAUCCGUGUCUCUGAGUCCACCUCAAUGGGGGGGUGAGGGGCAGGGAGGGAGGCUGUGCAUGGGGCUGGCCUGGGAGACUGGGCUAAGGGCCUUGUCUUACCCACUCGCGUGGCCUUUGCAUGGAGACAUUUUUUGGUCCCAACUCCACUGAGCCCCUCACCGCCGUAUCCAUGGUCCUGUGGACUGCUGGCUUUGUACAUGAGAAUAAAUCUUUUUCUUUCUAAUGGA